rnacentral:lncRNA from 1 species
AUUUAGAGUGCUCUGUGACAUUAGUCCAACCUGUUGAAUAAGGCCCUUUCUGUCUGUUCUGUUUGUUCCUCCUCCAGGUGACUCCCAACUCAUGGACGUGUGUUCUGUCCGUCACAACAACACCUUCCUCAGGUAAGUCUCGCUGCUCGGAUACGGUUUCUACGGAGACCUCCUGAUGGACUGCGAAAGGAAGUGCUGGAUGGGGCCUCCCAGAUACGAUCUCUCAGGUAAAUAAUGGAGUUAUAAUUGUUAUUACAAUGUAAUUACCACAUUAUUAAAAUGUAGUUACAAUUGCAGUCAAACAAUGUAAGAAUGGUAUUAUUAUUAGUUACUAUGUUAUGUAAUUGGAAAAAAAAAUCUAUUUCCAAAUAUGACCAACAGAGAAAGGGAAGAAUGAGUGGAGAAACUAAAUAUUUCACACAAUGUCACCAUCAUGAUUUCCAAAGCCACGCACUGCUUCUGUUGCAGGUCUAAUGAUGUUCCUGACCCAUCAGUAUUAUGAAGGGAGUCGCUUUCCUGCCCGCUGAGGACAAACCUGGGGAAACCUAGAGACAAGGUCAAGUGCAGAACUGGGUGCCAUAUCUGUGAGCAGGUUGCCAACAAUAGGCAGCCCCUCUUAGGGGAUCAUGUCUACUAGAUGGCUGAAGAGGACUCUGACAAGGUUUGACAUGUCCUUCAUGGAGGUGCACUGUGUGCGGGAGAUCCGGUUUGUUCCGAAGCACAGCAAUGGGAUCUCAGAGGUGGACCCGAGUGAGGCCAGUGGGAAGAAGAUCUGUAACCAGGUCUGUACGGCCCAUCCCAGCUACGACACAGGCCAUAGCAACUGGAACUGUGAUGAGGAGAUCAUGCCUCAUGCGGCUAUACAUGUCAGGUACACUAUUCAUAAUUUGAAUCUGUUGGUUUUGUUAAGAGAUUUAGGAGUUUGAGGUUUACCCACACGCAAACACACACACAGUGGUCCCAUAUCUUCCACCACAACAUCAGUAGAGAUCUUUUUAUAGCAUGAUGGUGGCCCUCCCUCCACCACCACAACAUCAGUAGAGAUAUUUUUAUAGCAUGAUGGUGGCUCUCCCUCCACCACCACAACAUCAGUAGAGAUCUUUUUAUAGCAUGAUGGUGGCUCUCCCUCCACCACCACAACAUCAGUAGAGAUCUUUUUAUAGCAUGAUGGUGGCUCUCCCUCCACCACCACAACAUCAGUAGAGAUAUUUUUAUAGCAUGAUGGUGGCUCUCCCUCCACCACCACAACAUCAGUAGAGAUCUUUUUAUAGCAUGAUGGUGGCUCUCCCUCCACCACCACAACAUCAGUAGAGAUCUUUUUAUAGCAUGAUGGUGGCUCUCCCUCCACCACCACAAUUUCAGUAGAGGUCUUUAUAUAGUACAACAGUGGCUUUCCUCCUGAACACAUCAUUUACUUUAUGCUCCAUUAUACUUUGCCAAUGAGGCAUGGCUGUGUAAUUCUAGUUUAUCUAAUUUAAUAUCCCUUCCACUGUUAAGAGCCUACUCCCUUUUAAUUAAAAUACAAGUCCAUUCAUUUAUUGCCUUUUUCCUCUCUAGUAAUUGUUCUUGGAAUGACUCAGCAAAUGAGCGGCUGAGAUAAUUGAUGGUGAUAACCCCGAUCUCCCCCCAAAAAUAAAGAAAAAAAGAAGACUGAGAGAAGUUGGCUGCAUUCUUUCACUGCUAGACACAAUAUUAGUAGGUGACUUCAAUAGUAUAUAUUUUAAAGUAAAUAUGGUUAAGUGUUUGGUUGCGUCUGUCUGGAUUGCCUGAUGGGCAGUGCAUGCACAGUUGGGCCUAUUCAAAUAUUAUUUGAAUCACCAGUGUGACUGACUGGAAAAUAAAAUCUGUAUGGUCCUUGAAGCAUCAUCUGAGUUGAAUUUUUAUUAAAGUCG